rnacentral:rRNA from 1 species
AUUGAACGCUGGCGGCAGGCCUAACACAUGCAAGUCGGGCGAGCGGCGGACGGGUGAGGAAUGUAGGGGGAACUGCCUGAUGGAGGGGGAUAACUACUGGAAACGGUAGCUAAUACCGCAUAACAUCAGAUGAACCCAUAUGGGAUUAGCUUGUAGGUGAGGUAACGGCUCACCUAGGCGACGAUCCCUAGCUGGUCUGAGAGGAUGCUCAGCCACACUGGGAUAGAGACACGGCCCAUACGCCUACGGCAGGCAGCAGUGGGGAAUAUUGCGCAUUGGGGGCAACCCUGCCGCAGCCAUGCCGCGUGAAUGAAGAAGUCCUUCGCGUUGUACAGUUCUUUCGGUAGCGAUGCGUUAACUACAUAAGAAGCACCGGCUAACUCCGUGCCAGCAGCCGCGGUAAUAC